UUCGCUAUAUUCCCACUCCUUUCCUGUCCUGAUCCGACUGUUGGGAGAGUUUUACACUCAAGCAAACUGGACUCAAAUCCUCCUUAAACCCAGGUGGGAAAGAGCAGCCCGAACGGUGGCGCCACUGCCCGACACCGCAACACAUCAGCAAAGCACAAGCCGCUUGCACAACUCGAAUCUGCUGCUCUUGGCCUCUGCCUCUCUCUCUGCCUCUCUCUGCCUGGCACCCACUCACAUGCCUUUUUUUUUUAUCACCUCGAAAAUAAAACAGAGCCAAUCGGGAUUUGCAAAUAUAUAUAUAUAUACAUAUAUAUGCAUUGCAUAAAGCAACAGCGCAAGAACUACAUUACCUCCUGGUUGAAAGCGAUCUACUUUGAGGCAAGGAGGAAGGAGGAGAAGUCAAAAGUUCCAGGCUUGCAUUGCAUUGAAGUCUUCCCAAAUAAAUAUCAGCCAGUCCUCAGCGAGGGACCCGGCCGCAGACUCUCUCCACAGUCAGUGGUUGUACUGAAAAUCAGUUGUGUUGGGCCAUUUGCUGCUGAGCUGAGCGCAGUGACACCCAGUGGAUCAGGCGGUCCACACAUCAUCUUUUAACACAGCAGUAGUAACGCCAGGAACUAUUUGGGAAUAAAUCAUGAAGCGCAAAAAAGGGAAACACUUCCGUUACCGACGCAACGCAAAACAACAACAACAACAACAAAAACAACAAACAAACAACAGCAAAUUGCAUUGAUGUGGCGCCUUUCAUUUCACAUCGACGCUGAACAGUGAAGGCUUUGCACCCGAUCGUGUUAGUCUGGCAUUCAGGUCAACUUAACCAAUACAGCGACUCUCUAAAUAAGGUUGUGUAAUGUGUGGUCUUUUUUCCAGUUGUAACUGGAACAGCUGGACCAGCCUGGCCUUGUUGAAUAUUGCACAUUGAUCUUCUGUGCAGCACAUAGAAAUACCGUAAUAAAAUAAAAUAAAAUAA